UCCGACUCAACUGUCUCAUUCGACAAAAUAAUUAUCGCCUUUUUUUCGUGAAAGUUAGUUAACUUCCGCAUGUUUCAUAUCUUGCACAAUAUAUAGCCGUCCACAGGUUUUCUAGAACUAUUCUAGAACUACACUGGUUACAUACGCUUGAUGGAGACUGUUGUGACUCGUAACUUAAUGGAGUCAGGAGUUAAGCAGAGGGGCCCCCACCUGGUGCACGACCAUGUUUUAUCAGCGGUUGGUUUCUGUGGAAACUACCAGAUUUUGCGAAAUCCAUGGUAACGGGUCAAAAUAAACGGGAAAAAAGCGAUUUGAGGUCGCCAAAAGUGCGGGGCAUUUGACCUGCGUCAGUCAGCUCGCCGAAUGAGCCAUCCUUAGAUCCCCUCAUGCUGAGACAAAAAUAGUCGACGAUCUGAGUUUCUAUGAGGCAAAAAAGCACGAUUGUAUGAUUUUAGAAGAGUUAUCACUUAUCUUUAGCGGACUGAACUCGCUAAAUUGCAAUUAUUUUUAGCGUGGAUAUUGUAUUUCGUUGAAUAACGUGAAAAUUCAAAUAAAUGCAAAUAAAGUUGUUCUACAUUUGAAAAGAACAACUUCAGA